UCAACCACGAGGUCUUUCGCUAAUUGCUUGUUUAUGACUUGAAGACUGAUCACACGCAUCGCUCAUUGUCUAUCCACGCAUGCGCAGUGUCAGCCCCGAAGACGCGUGGACAGAACACGACGAAUGAGUUGGUAAACAAACCUCGUAGCGUCAUGGACAUAACUGCGUCGGUGAUAAGAGCAGACGUCUUGCCCUUUACGUGGACCCAGUGGGGGGCGGAAUCAGUGGGAGGCGCCCUUGGAGUGUAUCCUCAAGACGAAGAUCCACGCGUAUCCUUGUCACCCAAGUCUCUGAAUGCCACUGGCACGGAUGUCCUUCGGUAGUCGUUUUUCCCGGAUUUGUCCUUCAUCGAGAGUGCCCUGUGCAGUGUGGCCUUCGCCGUCUUCCUGAGCAAAGCAAACUACUGAACGAAUAGGGACGUGGAU